GACGAACGCUGGCGGCGUGCUUAACACAUGCAAGUCGAACGGAAAGGCCCUGCUUUUGUGGGGUGCUCGAGUGGAGAACGGGUGAGUAACACGUGAGUAACCUGCCCCUGACUUUGGGAUAACUUCAGGAAACUGGGGCUAAUACCGGAUAGGAGCUACUGCUGCAUGGUGGGGGUUGGAAAGUUUCGGCGGUUGGGGAUGGACUCGCGGCGUAUCAGCUUGUUGGUGGGGUAGUGGCUUACCAAGGCUUUGACGGGUAGCCGGCCUGAGAGGGUGACCGGCCACAUUGGGACUGAGAUACGGCCCAGACUCCUACGGGAGGCAGCAGUGGGGAAUAGUGCACAAUGGGCGGAAGCCUGAUGCAGCAACGCCGCGUGCGGGAUGACGGCCUUCGGGUUGUAACCCGCUUUCGCCUGUGACGAAGCGUGAGUGACGGUAAUGGGUAAAGAAGCACCGGCUAACUACGUG
rnacentral:rRNA from 1 species